rnacentral:rRNA from 1 species
GAUGAACGCUGGCGGCGUGCCUAAUACAUGCAAGUCGAGCGAACAGACGAGGAGCUUGCUCCUCUGACGUUAGCGGCGGACGGGUGAGUAACACGUGGAUAACCUACCUAUAAGACUGGGAUAACUUCGGGAAACCGGAGCUAAUACCGGAUAAUAUAUUGAACCGCAUGGUUCAAUAGUGAAAGACGGUUUUGCUGUCACUUAUAGAUGGAUCCGCGCCGCAUUAGCUAGUUGGUAAGGUAACGGCUUACCAAGGCAACGAUGCGUAGCCGACCUGAGAGGGUGAUCGGCCGCACUGGAACUGAGACACGGUUCAGACUCCUACGGGAGGCAGCAGUAGGGAAUCUUCCGCAAUGGGCGAAAGCCUGACGGAGCAACGCCGCGUGAGUGAUGAAGGUCUUCGGAUCGUAAAACUCUGUUAUUAGGGAAGAACAAAUGUGUAAGUAACUAUGCACGUCUUGACGGUACCUAAUCAGAAAGCCACGGCUAACUACGUG